UACGAAGGUGGCAAGCGUUACUCGGAAUUACUAGGCGUAAAGGGCAGGUAGGCGGUUUGAUAAGUCUAUUGUGAAAGCUCCCGGCUUAACCGGGAGAGGUCAAUAGAUACUGUCGAACUUGAGUAUAGGAGAGGGUACUGGAAUUCCUGGUGUAGCGGUGAAAUGCGCAGAGAUCAGGAGGAACACCAAUGGCGAAAGCAGGUACCUGGACUAUUACUGACGCUCAGCUGCGAAAGCUAGGGGAGCAAACAGG
rnacentral:rRNA from 1 species